ACUCUGGGUGACAUCUGAUGUUAGGAAAGCUAUAGUGGAAUAGACUAUCUUCAUGAUACAGACUUUCAUGGAAUUGAAUUUCUAGAUAUUUUCAGUUGUUGGUGCCAUAUUUGUCUCUUGAUACUGCGCACAGUCAUCCGCAAAGAUACCUAGAUUAUAGAUAUUUCUGAUACAUACUCGUGGAAGGUCACUCAUACAUGUGAAAGGUCGUUGAUAGGUGUGAAUUUACCAAAGUGAAGUGUACCAACAGCGCCCUGACUAUUCAACCAUCAUCAUCCUGUCGGCAGACCUUCUAAUACGUCAGUUUCGAGAUACGAACUCUUCUGUAUAGGAGGUGCAUUUAGUGGAACUUUGAAUGCCUAAGUGGGACAGAGUGGAUAUACAGCCAACGAGGAAGACGAUGAAAUGUAUUAAAAGCGGCUUCUCUUUAAAUAUGUAAAUGUGGGAAAUACUAAAUACUAUCGAAAGAAAUGUUUUACCGAAGUGGAAACAUACAAACAAUGUCAUAUUUGUAAGAAAUGUCUUGGAUAUGGUACUUAUGACCAGCGAAACAACGUGAUAGGAUAAUAAUUCUAUGUAAUUAAUUACUCUCUAAAUAUUUAUCUCUUACUUAGUUUGUAUAUCAUUCAAAUACGGGUUUUCAAACAGCGUAUGAGAAACUUUCUGAGUACAUUCACUUACGCUAUGAUGAAUAUCUGUCCCACUCCCGCGUGUAAACAAAUUCUUUCGCGCCUUACUAUGUACGAGAGUUCUCCAAAGGGAAAUAACUCGGACGUAUCUCGAAACCGGCGUAUUGUUGUACAUAUAAAGAACUCAAAACCUUC